rnacentral:rRNA from 1 species
AUGCCGCAGAAGAGGCGCCGCCGCCCCCGCAGGAGGUCUCCCCGCGAAGGAUCCUCCCGCCGGCUCCGUGGUGAAGAUGGCGCAUCGUUGUCUGGAUCCCUUGUCGAAUCGGAUGGGAGCAGCAGCAGCAGCAGCCCGAGUUCCGGCUCACCGUCCCUCGACGACCCGUCGGACACCCGGUCGUCUCGCAGGUACGAGUCCAGGUACCAUGAGAUCCUCGCCUCGCGCCUUGCCCAACUGCCUCUACCAGCCUGCGCCGACGACGAUGGCCCAGAUCUCCCUUCUGAUGAAACUGUCGAAGCCCUCGUUCGUUCUUCUUUCUAUGAUGACGAGCUGCGGGCUGCUUUGGUAGAAUACCAAGCCCACAACUUCUUCUUGGGCGGACCAGACGUCCAGGGACGAGAUGGAGAUUCUGGAGAAUUUGAUUCCUCCUCAGUGAUUCACGAUGUCACCCAGGAGGAUCUCUUGGCAGACAAUGAACGGCUCAGGUCUCACAUACAUGAUGAAAUUGACACCGAGUCUCAAUUGGAUUUAGAGGAGCUGGACAGGCUCUAUCACAAGUAUGCACGAUAUCGCCUCAAAGCUUGCAUGUUGCUGAAAGGAAUGCCUAUUGACGAUGCUGCACUGGAAUGCAAGUACACUCCAGAGCUUGCCUUGGAUUACCUGAGUGAUGGAGCCUUCGGCUGGUGUUUCGACUUGGACCCCUGUUUACCCGCGUCCUUUAGCGACUAUCAGCGGCUGGUCCCUUGUAAUGAAGGGGGUGAUGAGUAUGAAAGUUGGAGUGAAUACCGAGAGUUUUAUAGCACCCCUGAAACUGAUAGAGAUUAUCUGCUGUACUGGGAAACGAUUGUGAAGGAUCUUAAGUGGAUUGAAGAACAUGUGCUUAAAGCCUUUUCUGAGUGGCAUGAAUUGCAUGAAAAAGCUUCGUGCCAAGCAGUUAGGAUUGCUGCUAGGUUCACAAGCAUUCAUCCGAGGCUAGCGUACUAUGGUUUCCUGGAGUAUAAACAGAGCACACGCUUUUAUCUCAAGUUCGUGAAAGAUCUCGACUCUGUGUUUUUUGAGAUUUGGAAGCUGGUCAAUCUCCAGAUGUCUUUUAGAGAUGCUAUGGAGCAUGUUUAUGAGGAGAACCCGUUUUCAUUACGCAAGCGUGAUUUGGAGCGCGAGCUGAGUCGCCCUGGCUCAUUGAGAUUGGAGGAACAAUUUCGACGGUGCACAGAGGGCAUCAGUAAGGAAGUUCCAGAGUGGAUAGCGCGUGAGUUAAUUUCGCAGGAAGUUAGAUUCAAGUGUGCUGUGCCAAAGACGUAUGCGCAGUACGCCAGGAAGAAGCUCAAGAUUGCAGAAGUCAUAGGAUUGAUUCCCGAGGCCAAGAUACCAACCUAG